rnacentral:rRNA from 1 species
GGAGCGGCAGACGGGUGAGUAACGCGUGGGAAUCUACCGAGCCCUGCGGAAUAACUCCGGGAAACUGGAACUAAUACCGCAUACGCCCUUCGGGGGAAAGAUUUAUCGGGGUUUGAUGAGCCCGCGUUGGAUUAGCUAGUUGGUGGGGUAAAGGCCUACCAAGGCGACGAUCCAUAGCUGGUCUGAGAGGAUGAUCAGCCACAUUGGGACUGAGACACGGCCCAAACUCCUACGGGAGGCAGCAGUGGGGAAUAUUGGACAAUGGGCGCAAGCCUGAUCCAGCCAUGCCGCGUGAGUGAUGAAGGCCCUAGGGUUGUAAAGCUCUUUCACCGGUGAAGAUAAUGACGGUAACCGGAGAAGAAGCCCCGGCUAACUUCGUGCCAGCAGCCGCGGUAAUACGAAGGGGGCUAGCGUUGUUCGGAAUUACUGGGCGUAAAGCGCACGUAGGCGGACAUUUAAGUCAGGGGUGAAAUCCCGGAGCUCAACUCCGGAACUGCCUUUGAUACUGGGUGUCUCGAGUAUGGAAGAGGUGAGUGGAAUUCCGAGUGUAGAGGUGAAAUUCGUAGAUAUUCGGAGGAACA